GGAGGAAAAGGAAGAAACUUCAAUGCAGCCAGUCCAGAGAAAUCAUAUAGAUCCAAGAACUUCAUGUUUGUCACUUCCUCUAAUUUAAUCUUUGUGCAUCAGGACAAUGACAACUGAGGAAUCAGUCCUUUGAGGAGCCAAAAGAGAAUGAAACAUACCUGGAAUCUGCCAAAAGAAUAAAAAAGAAGCAACAUACAUCAUCUAGACUUUUACACUUCAUGAUGCAGUGGGACAUUUGCAGUAGGAGGUGAAGAAAGUUUUCUAUAUUAAAAUGAGAGCGAGAUGGAGAAUGUGAUAUAAGUAAGAAAAAAAUGAAAAUGGAUUUCUUAUGCACAGGCCUCCAACAGGUUGGUGGGAGGAACCAGAGCAAAAAAUCAGGGAAAUACAGGAUCUUUCUCUGAACAGAUCAUAUGAUCAACACACAGUACCCAUAUUACCUUUUAGUCAUUUUAUCCCUGGAGUCAAUCAGUAAAAGGGAUUUAUCACAAAAAUUAACAUACAAACAAAAAAAGAGUCUUUUGUAUGUAAGGGGAUUUAAUUACUUCAAGAAUGUGCUGCAGAUAUCACACAUACUCACUGGCUUCCCUGAAAGGUUUGUUUGGCUGUGGUUUUUUUUCUUUAAAAGAAAAUCAUAUAGUUUGGUUUUCUAGCAGGUGCUACAUGAGAUACCAAAGAAAUGAGGAGAGUAAGAGGAAACAGUUUUCAUAAAUCUCCAUCUCCUUUUUCCAUAUAUAAAUUUGACUCGCAUAUAUAAAAA